GCCUCGCUGGCGGAACUGGUAUACGCAAUAGUUUAGAAAACUAUCGUCCGUGGCGGACAUACGGGUUCGAAUCCCGUGCGAGGCU
rnacentral:tRNA from 1 species